GAACAGCAAGCCGCUCUUUCACAGAUCUUUAGAAGAGCUUUAAAAGAUGCCGAGCCGCUCUUUUCCAGAUGUUUAGAAGAGCUUUAAAAGAUGCCGAGCCGCUCUUUCCCAGAUCUUUAGAAGAGCUUAAAAAGACGGUCAUGAUUCUACAUAACAACAUCCGCUUGACCUCGCAAUGCCAAGAAGAAGAAAGGCGUGGAACACAUGCUUAAGCCUGUCAAGAUCUUCAGAUGAUGUUUGAGCAAAAAGUCAUCAUCCUCUUCGUCACUCUUCAUCCGUAUUUGGGGUAACAAGCACCUGCUUCCCACAAGACACUGGACAGCUGAUGUCAGAUAAACAGUAACCAAGAAUAAAUGUACUGUUUUUUUAUGUUGGAUGGAUCAUCAGACCUGCACCUUCCUUGAACAUGUUGGUAACUUACUCUGUAUUUGUUCAUGGUGGUCACCCCAGGGUCUCAGGACUCAAAACGAGUGCUCUAUGGAUUGAACAUAAAAUGUAGUAUAAACAAGUGUUAUGUUUUUAAAUGCCACUAAUAAUGUGUUUCUGUUUUCUUUCUCAUUAUGCUAACAAACACUCUUUUACCCCUCAUGUUAGGUAGAUCAACACUCCAACCAUCUGCAUUAGGGACUGAAUAAAGGAUGCCCUCUGUAGCUGGGAAUGUUAGAUCAGGCGGAUCAACAUUCCAUCCAUCUGCAUUAGGAUCUACCUUAGAGACACUCACUGGAGCUGUAAAUGGGAAGCAGGUCACUUACUUUGCAUUCGUCCUUGGUGGUCACCCAAGGGUCUCUAGAGUGAAAAUUACUCAAUCUAUGGAUUAAACAGAAAAUUUAGUUGUAUGAAGUGCAAUUUGGGACAUUCUUCCAGUUGUCGGCAACUUUGUGAAAAAGGCUG